rnacentral:tRNA from 1 species
GAGGGUAUAGCUCAGUGGUAGAAUGUGCGCCUAGUACACACAAGGUCCUGGGUUCAAUCCCCAGUAUCUCCA